GUUUACAGUGAUCGAACAACAACGAGCAGCAGCAGCGCAGCAGGCUGUCCCGGCGGUCUCAGCGGCUGCAGCGGGGCGGCAACGAUUCCGACAGCGGCGCGGAGGAGAGGCAAAGGCGGACAACAACUGAUCCUUGACCGUGGCGGCGGUGAUCGAUUAAAGGCGGUGUAUCGGUGGCCGAAAGAGAAGGCGGUGCGGCGAACUCACCUCCGUGACUACCACGGCAGAGGUACUGCAAAUUUCAGUGAAAGGAAGAUGAGCGCAACGGAGUCCAACGUCGAGAGUUUGAGAGAAAGAGAGAAAGAAAAGAGGAAGAGGAAUGGAGGCACCGUCAAUUUCCCUCAAGUAGGAUUCUGUUUGGAAAAAAGGAUGAAAGGAAAGGGACGAUGGAGUAUUUUAUGAGGGAAUUAAAGUUUGGGCCGGAGUACAUUAAAUCAAUGGAUGAUUUCACGCACGCUUUUCAAGAACGAAAUGGAGCACAAGUUAAGGCUUUAAACGAAUGAGGUUGAGCGGUGACGAGCGCGGUGGGUGUUGAGCAUAAAAGUGAAGAAUGUCU